rnacentral:rRNA from 1 species
AUUGAACGCUAGCGGGAUGCUUUACACAUGCAAGUCGAACGGCAGCGCGGACUUCGGUCUGGCGGCGAGUGGCGAACGGGUGAGUAAUGUAUCGGAACGUGCCCAGUAGCGGGGGAUAACUACGCGAAAGCGUAGCUAAUACCGCAUACGCCCUACGGGGGAAAGCAGGGGAUCGUAAGACCUUGCACUAUUGGAGCGGCCGAUAUCGGAUUAGCUAGUUGGUGAGGUAACGGCUCACCAAGGCGACGAUCCGUAGCUGGUUUGAGAGGACGACCAGCCACACUGGGACUGAGACACGGCCCAGACUCCUACGGGAGGCAGCAGUGGGGAAUUUUGGACAAUGGGGGCAACCCUGAUCCAGCCAUCCCGCGCGUGCGAUGAAGGCCUUCGGGUUGUAAAGCACUUUUGGCAGGAAAGAAACGUCGCGGGCUAAUACCCCGUGGAACUGACGGUACCUGCAGAAUAAGCACCGGCUAACUACGUG